UAACUACGGGAUAACCCGUUGAAAGACGGCCUAAUACCGUAUGACAUCGUUUGCUGACAUCAAAUAACGAUUAAAGGUUUAGCGGUUUAUGGAUGGGGGAUGCGUCUGAUUAGCUUGUUGGCGGGUAACGGCCCACCCAAGGCGACGAUCCAGUAGGGGUUCUGAGAGGAAGGUCCCCCACAUUGGAACUGAGACACGGUCCAAACUCCUACGGGAGGCAGCAGUGAGGAAUAUUGGUCAAUGGGCGAGAGCCUGAACCAGCCAAGUAGCGUGCAGGAUGACGGCCCUAUGGGUUGUAAACUGCUUUGUUUGGGAAUAAUCGACAUUACGUGUAAUGUUUUGCAUGUACCAUUCGAAUAAGGACCGGCUAAUUCCGUGCCAGCAGCCGCGGUAAU
rnacentral:rRNA from 1 species